CAUCGGUCAACGUGACUUCUAUUCAACAUCUAUGGUCGCAAUCCCAAGGUUCAUUGCGAUCCCAAGGUCCACUGCGGUUUUCCACGCGAUGCAGAACCUUUAGACACUGGAUUAAUGUCCUGGAUUAAGUCCAAUGUAUUUAUUGGAAAACAGUAGAGAAAUUGCAAAUAAGUGGGUUGAAGACAUAAUUAUUCAUCUGUCUUCCAUACAUGUAACAAAAGAAUGCAGAGGCCAUAUGAAUUCAUCUUGACUAAGGAACUCUUCACAGCACUGCAUCUGAACAGUCACAACCUCACAGAGCAGCACAACCACCCCACUCAGGAUCAGUGUUAUGGUGCCAUUUUGAAGCUGGAACCUCAUCUUGUGUACAGAAAAGGUAGAGUUGAAAAUUCACUGGUUGUCUUGUAUUGUGUGUGGCAAAACCUGGGAUAACACAUGGGAG